GACGAACGUUGGCGGCGUGCUUAAUACAUGCAAGUCAACUGAAGCAGUGGUAGCAAUAUCGCUGUGGAGGUGGCGCACGGGUGAGUAACACGUAGGUAAUCUGCCUUCAGGUCUGGCAUAACUCCGGGAAACCGGGGCUAAUAGCAGAUGAUGCAGCGGCUCGACAUCGAGACAGUUGUUAAAGCUAUGGCGCCUGAAGAUGAGCCUGCGUCUGAUUAGCUAGUUGGCGGGGUAACGGCCCACCAAGGCAACGAUCAGUAGCUGGUCUGAGAGGAUGAUCAGCCACACUGGAACUGAGACACGGUCCAGACUCCUACGGGAGGCAGCAGUAAGGAAUAUUGCUCAAUGGGAGAAAUCCUGAAGCAGCAACGUCGCGUGAGGGACGAAGGGCUUUUGCCUGUAAACCUCUGUAGUGAGAGAAAAAAAUCCCAAUCUUUGGGACAUGAUGGUAUCUCAAAAGUAAGCCCCGGCUAACUACGU
rnacentral:rRNA from 1 species